rnacentral:rRNA from 1 species
UACGGAGGGUGCAAGCGUUGUUCGGAAUCAUUGGGCGUAAAGCGCGUGUAGGCGGCUUGGCAAGUCGGUUGUGAAAUCCCGGGGCCCAACCCCGGAACUGCAUUCGAAACUGCCUCGCUAGAGUCCCGGAGAGGAAGGCGGAAUUCCCGGUGUAGAGGUGAAAUUCGUAGAUAUCGGGAGGAACACCAGCGGCGAAGGCGGCUAACUGGUCCAGUACUGACGCUGAGGUGCGAAAGCAUGGGUAGCGAACAGG